GAUAGUGGGAUUGAAAUUAAGCCAUGCGAGUCAUUGUAGCAAUACUAGGCAGACGGCUCAGUAACGCGUAGUCAACCUACCCUAUGGACGGGAAUAACCUCGGGAAACUGAGAAUAAUACCCGAUAGAACAUUAUGCCUGGAAUGGUUUAUGUUUCAAAUGAUUUAUCGCCGUAGGAUGGGACUGCGGCCUAUCAGUUUGUUGGUGAGGUAAUGGCCCACCAAGACUAUUACAGGUACGGGCUCUGAGAGGAGUAGCCCGGAGAUGGGUACUGAGACACGGACCCAGGCCCUAUGGGGCGCAGCAGGCGAGAAAACUUUGCAAUGUGCGAAAGCACGACAAGGUUAAUCCGAGUGGUUUCUGCUAAAGGAACCUUUUGUCAGUCCUAGAAACACUGAUGAAUAAGGGGUGGGCAAGUUCUGGUGUCAGCCGCCGCGGUAAAACCAGCACCUCAAGUGGUCAGGAUGAUUAUUGGGCCUAAAGCAUCCGUAGCCGGCUCUGUAAGUUUUCGGUUAAAUCUGUACGCUCAACGUACAGGCUGCCGGGAAUACUGCAGAGCUAGGGAGUGGGAGAGGUAGACGGUACUCGGUAGGAAGGGGUAAAAUCCUUUGAUCUAUUGAUGACCACCUGUGGCGAAGGCGGUCUACCAGAACACGUCCGACGGUGAGGGAUGAAAGCUGGGGGAGCAAACCGGAUUAGAUACCCGGGUAGUCCCAGCUGUAAACUAUGCAAACUCAGUGAUGCAUUGGCUUGUGGCCAAUGCAGUGCUGCAGGGAAGCCGUUAAGUUUGCCGCCUGGGAAGUACGUACGCAAGUAUGAAACUUAAAGGAAUUGGCGGGGGAGCACCACAAAGGGUGAAGCCUGCGGUUCAAUUGGAGUCAACGCCGGG
rnacentral:rRNA from 1 species